rnacentral:lncRNA from 1 species
ACAUCGUGAACCUCCAUUGUCUUUGCAAUGUUUUCAUGGUGAAGAAUGGAAUUGUAGGCUGGGAUUCGGUUAGAUGCCUUGACUCCUUUUGACAGUUACACCUGCAGCUCUGCCGUCCUGCCAAGGAUCAGCGUAUAGAAGACAAAGGAGGAGGAGGAGGGGCCACCGCCAGCACGGCUUGACUCUCUCAGCCAAACCCUGUGUGUGUGUUUAUGCAGAAGCAGAUCAUUGUGACUUUACUAAAGUAUACUCCCAUGUAAGUGUGUGCAGGAUUACAGCCUUUAGUUUGCUUCAGGGGACAUUACAGAACUCAUCAGCCUCCUAGCAACAGUAAGCCUCCAUUGGCUCAUUUGGAUUCUCAUUAUGAUUCAUCCGUUGACCCAAACAAGGGAUUUCUUUAUCUCCCAUUCUCUGUUUUCUGGAAGCACGGAGGCAAGAGUGCAUGUACAGUAAUACAUUUUACAGAAUUUGACCAUUGCUGAGCUUCUAACCCUUCCUUUCUAACCUUUUUUUUUAAAAAAAAUCAUCAUCAUCAUCAUCAUGAUAAGUCCAUCUUACCUGCUUUGACUUGCUUCUGGGCUCACAGCAUUCUCAGAUGGGGCUGCAACAAGAAAGAAAGAAAAACUCUGAAGAAAGCAAGAACACGACACCUUCAAGACAUUUGAGACCCCUGGCGUUCCUCCAGCAGUACCUCCAGCUCAACAGCUGUUGAAGAAUGCCCUUGCGUACCUUACACUUCUAUUCUAAUAUACAGCCAUGGUGGGAGGAAAGACAAAUAUUUCGGGGAAAUAAUGGCAUCGUUUCCUACCUGCCAUAGUUCACGUUGGCCAUGUGCUGCACUAAGCAAGAAGUUUUGUCUCAUCCAAGCCACAAACCUAGAACAGAUAAAGAUUUAAUAAUUAACAAGAACUUGAGGAGGAACUUGAGUGUGAGAGGCAGUUAAGAAACGGAGAAACCCAAAACUGGGAUGGGGGGAAAU